UACGAAGGGGGCUAGCGUUGCUCGGAAUCACUGGGCGUAAAGCGCACGUAGGCGGAUUGCUAAGUCAGGGGUGAAAUCCUGGAGCUCAACUCCAGAACUGCCUUUGAUACUGGCGAUCUUGAGUCCGGGAGAGGUGAGUGGAACUGCGAGUGUAGAGGUGAAAUUCGUAGAUAUUCGCAAGAACACAGUGGCGAAGGCGGCUCACUGGCCCGGUACUGACGCUGAGGUGCGAAAGCGUGGGGAGCAAACAGG
rnacentral:rRNA from 1 species